CACCUCUGGACCCCCCAUGUCCCCUGCCCCCAUCGCUGUCCCCGCCCCGUGUCCCCAUCCCCCUCAGCCCACUGUCCCCUCCCCGCGCCACCUCUGCCGCCACCCCCUGCGCGUCCCCCGGACUGUCCCCACUGUCCCCACGGUGACCGGGGGGACUCUGACCUCUCGCGGCCAGCGCCACCGCCGCCCUUUGCCCGGGCUGUCCGCGCUGUCCCCCCGGGGCCGAGGGUCGGUGACACCGCGGGUGACACCGCGGGGCCCGGGCUGGGGACAGCGAGGGGACAGCGAGGGGACAGCGAGGGGACAGCGAGGGGACAGGGCCCCCCCGCGCUGCCCCUCGGCCCCGCCGUGUUUGCCCGGGGGGGGCGGGGCUGGGAUAAAAACGGGGCCGGGGGAGGGGGGACCCCAAAACUGCGGCGGCACCCGGCAGCCAUGAGGCUCCCGCUGGCCGCGCUGCUGCUCCUGCUCGCCGCCGGCCGCCUCGGGGCCGCGCUGCAGCGCGGGAGGCGGCGGAGGGCACGGAGGGCACGGGGGGCACGGGGGGCGCGGAGGAUUUCCUGAGCCGGCAGCUGCAGAGCCUGAGCCGGCUGCUGAGCAGCGAGCUGCCCCCGCAGCUGCGGCCCGAGGAGCUGCGCGGCCAGGCCGAGCUGUACCUGGAGCGGGCCAACAAGCAGCUGCAGCCGCUGGCCCGGGAGCUGCAGAGCAACGUGCUGGGGCUGUUCUCAUCGCUGCUGCGGCUGGGCCGGGCCGAGGGCCAGGGGGAGACCCCCGACACCCCCUGAGACC